GAUGAACGCUGGCGGCGUGCCUAAUACAUGCAAGUCGAGCGAACAGACGAGGAGCUUGCUCCUCUGACGUUAGCGGCGGACGGGUGAGUAACACGUGGAUAACCCACCUAUAAGACUGGGAUAACUUCGGGAAACCGGAGCUAAUACCGGAUAAUAUAUUGAACCGCAUGGUUCAAUAGUGAAAGACGGUUUUGCUGUCACUUAUAGAUGGAUCCGCGCCGCAUUAGCUAGUUGGUAAGGUAACGGCUUACCAAGGCAACGAUGCGUAACCGACCUGAGAGGGUGAUCGGCCACACUGGAACUGAGACACGGUCCAGACUCCUACGGGAGGCAGCAGUAGGGAAUCUUCCGCAAUGGGCGAAAGCCUGACGGAGCAACGCCGCGUGAGUGAUGAAGGUCUUCGGAUCGUAAAACUCUGUUAUUAGGGAAGAACAAAUGUGUAAGUAACUAUGCACGUCUUGACGGUACCUAAUCAGAAAGCCACGGCUAACUACGUG
rnacentral:rRNA from 1 species